UUGAACGCUGGCGGCAUGCUUUACACAUGCAAGUCGAACGGUAACAGGCCGCAAGGUGCUGACGAGUGGCGAACGGGUGAGUAAUGCAUCGGAACGUGCCCAGUCGUGGGGGAUAACUACUCGAAAGAGUAGCCAAUACCGCAUACGAUCUAUGGAUGAAAGCGGGGGACCGUAAGGCCUCGCGCGAUUGGAGCGGCCGAUGUCAGAUUAGGUAGUUGGUGGGGUAAAGGCUCACCAAGCCAACGAUCUGUAGCUGGUCUGAGAGGACGACCAGCCACACUGGGACUGAGACACGGCCCAGACUCCUACGGGAGGCAGCAGUGGGGAAUUUUGGACAAUGGGCGCAAGCCUGAUCCAGCAAUGCCGCGUGCAGGAAGAAGGCCUUCGGGUUGUAAACUGCUUUUGUACGGAACGAAACGGCUCUGGUUAAUACCCGGGGCUAAUGACGGUACCGUAAGAAUAAGCACCGGCUAACUACGUG
rnacentral:rRNA from 1 species